CAGGAAAUAGUUUAGUGUAGAAUACUAACUUUGGGAGUUAGUGGUGGAAGUUAAAAUCUUUCUUUUCUGG
rnacentral:tRNA from 1 species